UGGGGAAUCUUAGACAAUGGGCGCAAGCCUGAUCUAGCCAUGCCGCGUGGACGAUGAAGGCCCUAGGGUUGUAAAGUCCUUUCGCUGGGGAAGAUAAUGACUGUACCCAGUAAAGAAGCCCCGGCUAACUCCGUGCCAGCAGCCGCGGUAAUACGGAGGGGGCUAGCGUUGUUCGGAAUUACUGGGCGUAAAGCGCACGUAGGCGGAUCAGCAAGUUAGGGGUGAAAUCCCGGGGCUCAACCCCGGAACUGCCUUUAAAACUGCAGGUCUAGAGUUCGAGAGAGGUGAGUGGAAUUCCGAGUGUAGAGGUGAAAUUCGUAGAUAUUCGGAGGAACACCAGUGGCGAAGGCGGCUCACUGGCUCGAUACUGACGCUGAGGUGCGAAAGCGUGGGGAGCAAACAGG
rnacentral:rRNA from 1 species